rnacentral:rRNA from 1 species
AGCGUACACGGUGGAUGCCCUGGCAGUCAGAGGCGAUGAAGGACGUGCUAAUCUGCGAAAAGCGUCGGUAAGGUGAUAUGAACCGUUAUAACCGGCGAUGUCCGAAUGGGGAAACCCAGUGCAAUUCGUUGCACUAUCGUUAACUGAAUACAUAGGUUAACGAGGCGAACCGGGGGAACUGAAACAUCUAAGUACCCCGAGGAAAAGAAAUCAACCGAGAUUCCCCCAGUAGCGGCGAGCGAACGGGGAGCAGCCCAGAGUCUGAAUCAGCUUGUGUGUUAGUGGAACGGUCUGGAAAGUCCGACGGUACAGGGUGAUAGUCCCGUACACCAAAAUGCACAGGUUGUGAACUCGAAGAGUAGGGCGGGACACGUGGUAUCCUGUCUGAAUAUGGGGGGACCAUCCUCCAAGGCUAAAUACUCCUGACUGACCGAUAGUGAACCAGUACCGUGAGGGAAAGGCGAAAAGAACCCCGGCGAGGGGAGUGAAAAAGAACCUGAAACCGUGUACGUACAAGCAGUGGGAGCACCUUCGGGUGUGACUGCGUACCUUUUGUAUAAUGGGUCAGCGACUUAUAUUCUGUAGCAAGGUUAACCGUAUAGGGGAGCCGCAGGGAAACCGAGUCUUAACUGGGCGUUAAGUUGCAGGGUAUAGACCCGAAACCCGGUGAUCUAGCCAUGGGCAGGUUGAAGGUUGGGUAACACUAACUGGAGGACCGAACCGACUAAUGUUGAAAAAUUAGCGGAUGACUUGUGGCUGGGGGUGAAAGGCCAAUCAAACCGGGAGAUAGCUGGUUCUCCCCGAAAGCUAUUUAGGUAGCGCCUCGUGAAUUCAUCUUCGGGGGUAGAGCACUGUUUCGGCUAGGGGGUCAUCCCGACUUACCAACCCGAUGCAAACUACGAAUACCGAAGAAUGUUAUCACGGGAGACACACGGCGGGUGCUAACGUCCGUCGUGAAGAGGGAAACAACCCAGACCGCCAGCUAAGGUCCCAAAGUCAUGGUUAAGUGGGAAACGAUGUGGGAAGGCACAGACAGCCAGGAUGUUGGCUUAGAAGCAGCCAUCAUUUAAAGAAAGCGUAAUAGCUCACUGGUCGAGUCGGCCUGCGCGGAAGAUGUAACGGGGCUAAACCAUGCACCGAAGCUGCGGCAGCGACACUAUGUGUUGUUGGGUAGGGGAGCGUUCUGUAAGCCUGCGAAGGUGACCUGUGAGGGUUGCUGGAGGUAUCAGAAGUGCGAAUGCUGACAUAAGUAACGAUAAAGCGGGUGAAAAGCCCGCUCGCCGGAAGACCAAGGGUUCCUGUCCAACGUUAAUCGGGGCAGGGUGAGUCGACCCCUAAGGCGAGGCCGAAAGGCGUAGUCGAUGGGAAACAGGUUAAUAUUCCUGUACUUGGUGUUACUGCGAAGGGGGGACGGAGAAGGCUAUGUUAGCCGGGCGACGGUUGUCCCGGUUUAAGCAUGUAGGCUGGUUGUCCAGGCAAAUCCGGAUAAUCAAGGCUGAGGUGUGAUGACGAGGCACUACGGUGCUGAAGUAACAAAUGCCCUGCUUCCAGGAAAAGCCUCUAAGCAUCAGGUAACAUUAAAUCGUACCCCAAACCGACACAGGUGGUCAGGUAGAGAAUACCAAGGCGCUUGAGAGAACUCGGGUGAAGGAACUAGGCAAAAUGGUGCCGUAACUUCGGGAGAAGGCACGCUGGUGUGUAGGUGAAGUCCCUGCGGAUGGAGCUGAGACCAGUCGAAGAUACCAGCUGGCUGCAACUGUUUAUUAAAACACAGCACUGUGCAAACACGAAAGUGGACGUAUACGGUGUGACGCCUGCCCGGUGCCGGAAGGUUAAUUGAUGGGGUUAUCCGUAAGGAGAAGCUCUUGAUCGAAGCCCCGGUAAACGGCGGCCGUAACUAUAACGGUCCUAAGGUAGCGAAAUUCCUUGUCGGGUAAGUUCCGACCUGCACGAAUGGCGUAAUGAUGGCCAGGCUGUCU